UUCCGGUUGAUCCUGCCGGAAGCCAUUGCUAUCGGAGUCCGAUUUAGCCAUGCUAGUCGAGCGAGGUUAGCCCUCGCGGCGAACAGCUCAGUAACACGUGGCCAAGCUACCCUGCAGAGGGGGACAGUGUCGGGAAACUGACAGGAAUCCCCCAUACCGGUCUCACGCUGGAAUGCCGAGACCGACAAACGCUCCGGCGCUGCAGGAUGCGGCUGCGGCCGAUUAGGUAGUCGGUGGGGUAACGGCCCACCGAGCCGAUAAUUGGUACGGGGUGUGAGAGCACGAGCCCGGAGACGGAAUCUGAGACAAGAUUCCGGGCCCUACGGGGCGCAGCAGGCGCGAAACCUUUACACUGCACGAAGGUGCGAUAAGGGGACUCCGAGUGCGAGGGCAUACAGUCCUCGCUAUUGUGUACCGUAGGGUGGUACACGACCAAGAGCUGGGCAAGACCGGUGCCAGCCGCCGCGGUAAUACCGGCAGCUCGAGUGAUGGCCGAUUUUAUUGGGCCUAAAGCGUCCGUAGCUGGCCCUGCAAGUCCGUCGGGAAAUCCACUCGCCUAACGAGUGGGCGUCCGGCGGAAACUACAGGGCUUGGGACCGGAAGACUUGAGGGGUACGUCUGGGGUAGGAGUGAAAUCCUGUAAUCCUGGACGGACCGCCGAUGGCGAAAGCACCUCAAGACGACGGAUCCGACAGUGAGGGACGAAAGCUAGGGUCUCGAACCGGAUUAGAUACCCGGGUAGUCCUAGCCGUAAACGAUGUUCGCUAGAUGUGGCACAGGCUACGUGCCUGUGCUGUGUCGUAGGGAAGCCGAGAAGCGAACCGCCUGGGAAAGUACGUCCGCAAGGAUGAAACUUAAAGGAAUUGGCGGGGGAGCACUACAACCCGGAGGAGCCUGCGGGUUUAAUUGGGAUUCAACGCCGG
rnacentral:rRNA from 1 species